CAUAAAUAAAAUCCGAUAAAAAAGUAUUUGAGAAUAGUGGUUCUCUCCUCUCCUCUCCUCCAUAACACUUGCUUUAGAAAGGUAACGCCCGCCAUUUAUUUGCUCACUCACUCCAUCGCUGCCUGGAAAGUGGAAACGCACGAUAGAAAAGUAAUGGUCAAGAAUCAAAGACUCGAUUCUUUUUUGAAGAGGAAACUUGCUCAGCAAGAUGACGAGAAUAUAGAUUCCACCUCUGAACCCGAAAAACCACAAAUUGAAGAAAAUGAGAAGCAACUUUCCAAGGUUCGUAGAGUUGCAUGUGAUGAGUUUGAGAAGGAGAAUCAAGAUGGGCAUAAUGACAAUGCUAUUGAUGUGCCAAACUUAGAUCAAAUUAUGAAGAAUCAAGAUUGUAUUCUUCAAACUUCAAUUGGCAUUGUUCUUUAUCUAACAUUUCAAGAUCAUGCUAUUUGUGGUGGUGAUGGAGAAACCACCGAAGAAAGAUAUGAAGAUGUUUUCAGUUCAAUGGCAAUACUUAAUGCAUCAUUUAAUGAUGAGUUUUCCCAAGCCAUGUUGAAAAAUGGCCAAUAUCUUGACAAGUGUGCUUCACUUCAAUUUCGAAAAGAGAUCUUGCGAGUUGUUUCUAGUCAAGUGAAAAACCAUAUCCGUGAGGAAAUUGGUGAUUCCAAAUUUUGUAUAGUUGUUGAUGGAGCUCUUGAUAAAUCAGGAAAGGAACAAAUGGCCCUUGUUUUGAGAUUUGUUGAUAAAAAGGGGUUUAUACAAGAGCGGUUGUUUGAUAUUGUGCAUGUUAAAGACAUUAAUUUUGAGGUAUCCGCUCUUAAGGAACAAGUUUGUGCUAUACUUUCUCAGCAUAAUCUUGAUGUUUCUAACAUUCGUGGUCAAGGGUAUGAUGGUACCUGCGAAAUGAGAGAACAAUGGAAUGGUUUACAUGCACUAUUUUUGAAUGAAUGUCCUUCUGCAUAUCACAUUCAUUGUUUUGCUCAUAAGUUGCAAUCUGCCUUGGUUUGUGCAUCGUCAGAAGUUACUCCAAUUUACCUGUUCUUUUCUGAAUUGAAUUCUAUUGUAGAUUUUUUCUCUUGUUGUAGUAAGCCCCAUGAUGAGUUACUUGCUGCCAAGUUAGAUGAAAUUGCACAUUUGCUAAAGAUCAAUGAGCUUGAAACCAGCGAAGGGGAGAAUUUUACUUGGCAAACUCGUUCGAGGUCACAUUUUCCUUCUAUCUGUACCUUGAUAAACAUGUAUGGUGAAACUUGUUCUCUUUUAGAAAAACUGACCAAUGUUGGUUCAACUUAUUGUCAAAGUGGGGAUGCUUCUAUUGCUUUUGAUAACUUGACUACAUUUGAAUUUGUAUUGAUCUUGCAUUUGAUGAGAAAUAUUAUGGGGAUAACUGAUAUUCUUUGUCAAGCUUUACAACAACAAAAUCCAAAUGUUGUUAAUGUCAAGCAUAUAGUUCGUUCUACCAAAGUGCUGCUUCAAAACACGAGACAAAAUGGCUGGAGUAAGUUGUUAAAAAGUGUGAUAUGUUUUUGUGAUAAAAAUGGUAUUGAGGUUCCUCAAUUGAAAGCUCCGUAUGUAGCAAGACCUGCAUGGCGCUCUAAUCACCAAAAGGAUGACAUCACAAUAGAGCAUUAUUAUAGGGAAGAAGUGUUUUCCAUUGCCAUUGACAAACAAUUACAAGAGUUGAAUAGCAGGUUUAGCGACCAAGCAAUGGAGUUGUUAACUCUAAGUUGUGCUUUGGUUCCUAAGGAUACUUACAAAACUUUUAACAUUGAUGAUAUUUGCACUCUUGUAGAAAAAUAUUAUCCCAUGGAUUUCAACGAGCAGGAGAAGCUUAAUUUACGAUGUCAACUUCAGCAUUUCAUUAUUGAUGCUCGUCAAGAUUCAAAAUUGAAGAAUUUAUCAACUAUCCAAGAAUUGUGUACAUGUUUGGCAGCAACAAAAAAAUCAGAAGUUUACUGUUUGAUUGACAAAUUACUCCGUCUUAUCAUGACUCUUCCGGUUUCUACUGCUACAACCGAAAGAUCUUUUGCAGGAAUGGAAAUUUUCAAGACUAUGUUGCGAAACAUGAGUGAAGAUGCUUUUCUAGCAGACGGCGUGAUAAUUUACAUUGAAAAGGAGAUUGCUAAAGGUUUUACUUUUAAUUCAAUUAUUGAUGAUCUCGAGUCUCACUCAAAGAGCACAAUGACUCACAACCGUGUAGCUCUGUAAAUGAUUGCAGUACCUGACCAUCAGAAUUACUUGGCGAUGAAGAAUCUGAUGGAUACCUUCCGCUUCAAGUUGCUGAAUAUCUGAUUGAGGAUGACAUCUCAUCUAGACAAGUUCACGGUUUUGUCUUUUGUCGAGGCUCUUGAGGGUUCUGUUUCCAAAUCUGAGGAAUUCAGACAAGAUUAUCAGGAUUUAAAAUCUUAGUCUCGUAACCAUCAUUGGCAAUUUGACAUUAUGGAUGAGUUUCAGUAGCGUGGCUCUUUUGACAUCUCUUUUUUCACUAUUGCUUAUACAGAUACAAGAAACUGUUUUCUUUUUGUUGUUGUUGUUGUGGCUAUUUCUGUUUGAAAAAGUAAAGUUUAAUGGUUUUAAUUUAAUUGAGAUCUUUGAAGGCUAUGGGUUGAAGUACAUGAAUACUAAAAUCUAAACCAUCAUUGAUGGCAAUUGCACCCAUACACAUUGAGUAUCCACAAAAACAUAAGGUAAAAACCUACAUUAUCCGCUUAAUUUUGAGGGUAAUUGUCCGCAGUUUA